rnacentral:rRNA from 1 species
UACGUGGGUGGCAAGCGUUGUCCGGAAUUAUUGGGCGUAAAGCGCGCGCAGGCGGUCCUUUAAGUCUGAUGUGAAAGCCCACGGCUCAACCGUGGAGGGUCAUUGGAAACUGGGGGACUUGAGUACAGAAGAGGAAAGCGGAAUUCCACGUGUAGCGGUGAAAUGCGUAGAGAUGUGGAGGAACACCAGUGGCGAAGGCGGCUUUCUGGUCUGUAACUGACACUGAGGCGCGACAGCGUGGGGAGCAAACAGG